AGAGGCCGCGAGGUGUCUGGUCCGGUAGAGUGGUGGCGGCUGCUGUGGGCUACGGUCUUUGCCAGCCUCCUUCUCAACCCGUCCUUUUCUCUCGGGUCCCUGGAGCCCCGACCCAGUGGCUAGACCUAGAUGAAGGACACAACAGACAGCUGCCUUGGACACAGCUUCCCCAAGGGUUCAGAAACUCCCCUAGCAUCUUCCGUGAGAUUCUCCAUGAGGAUUUGGGAUUUAGAAUUCCCCCUGUACUUGAGGACUAACUCCUUUUGAAGUUAUGUGCGCCAGGCCCCCACCUCUGCCACCUGAUGAAAGGCAGCAGUCCUAGCUGAAGUUGAUCAUGAGUUUCCUCCCUCCAAGCCUUAUUCCAGAACUUUGUGCCCUGCCGGAUACAUAUGGAAGGAUCCAGGUUCAAGAGGCAAACCCUGUUCGUCAUAUCAGAAACUGCAAAGCUUUAGGCCAACUUGCAGGAAGGAUGGCCAGGAACAGCGACUUACAACCUGUGUGCCCAGGGACAAGUGACUGUGGGACUUUUUGGUGGCACUGAAAGCUUCUUUUGUGGUAAAUGGGGCUGUGAGGCCAAUGCCCCACGGGUGCCUGAUAACUGGGAUCUUAUCCAGAUAGUCAGGACAGCGAACCUGACACCCAGCGGACUGGUGGGCUCGAUGGAGGAACCCCAUCUCCAUCUCAAUAACGGAGAAGGGACAGAAGAGCAGAGGAUGGGAGGCUGGGAAGGCGCGGGGCUUAAUGGUGUAUCAUGGACACAAUAGGGGACUCCACUCUUCCAGUCCAUCUGGAACCUCUCUAUAGUGAUAGGACCAGUGGCACUGGCAACACCAACACCCAUCCUAAAAGCCACAUCAGCCUCAGUUCCAGAUCCCUGCUCUUCCCUCGCCCUAAACAUGUUUGCAGUCACCCUUACCAUGGAAGCCAGCAGCUCCUUUGUCAUGCACCAUAGUGUAACUUGAUCUACAUGCCCCUCAGGUUUGACCCCUUGGUUCCAUCCACAGGUACUCCCAAAACCCCAGCUUGUGUGUUUGGCUACUCUGUUCCCUUAAGUCUGUUAUCUUCCUUAUAGUACCUAUAUGGAGAUGGCUCUGGAUCAUCACAGGAAAAGACAAGAUUUGGGGCCUCAGCAAUUUGACUUACUUCCAGUGCUAGUGGGGUCUAGCACAGCUGUGGGAAUCGGCACUGGUACUGAUAGAACCUAGUGGGGAAACCCCCACUCAAUUCAGCGUGCACCCAAAAAAUCACAAAUGAUGGUCAUCUUGAUGUAAUUACACGAGGUAGUUUAAUGACAACGGAGCUCCGGAGCGAUAUGCAUCCCACACAGGAGAUGCCGGCCAUGAGGCUCGAAAGCUAGGGGUUUUUAUGGGGUAAGGGGCUUGGGGGUGUGGAAUUCAGCACAAUGAUACACUAUUGGCUUAUUCAAACAUCAGCAGAAAAAUUACAUGUACGUUCAGGGUGUCAGAGUUCUGUGAGUUGUUGACUCAGUUCAGAUAGCCCUGUUAUGUCCUCACAUUCCUCUUUAUCUUUAAGGUUAAGCUGUUCCCAGGAAUAUUUUAACUACGGGGCAUGCCCGGGUUUGUUUUUCUUUUUUCUCAGCCCCAGGCAGCCUCUAGGCUCACAAACAACCAGCAAUUUCUGAGUACUUUAUAUGACUUACAGGUCUUGAAAUUUCAUCUUUCAGUACCACAGCCCUAGUCAAGGCACAUCAAUGCUUCAGGCCUUAAACAACCCUACAGACUUAAAUCUAGCUAAAAUUCCCCUAGUUCCCUAUAAAGAGUCCUGUGUGCCUUUCUCUGGAGUUGUCGCCAUAUUUGUGAGUGGCUAACCCUGCAUGCAGGCUUUCUACUUUUGCGAAAUAAAAACUCUAGCCAAUUGCAUAUGGG